rnacentral:rRNA from 1 species
AUUGAACGCUGGCGGCAGGCCUAAUACAUGCAAGUCGAACGAGUGGCGGACGGGUGAGUAAUGUCUGGGAAACUGCCUGAUGGAGGGGGAUAACUACUGGAAACGGUAGCUAAUACCGCAUACCCUCAGAUGUGCUCAGAUGGGAUUAGCUCGUUGGUGUGGUAACGGCUCACCAAGGCGACGAUCCCUAGCUGGUCUGAGAGGAUGAACCGCCACACUGGGACUGAGACAAGGUCCAGACGCCUAAGGGAGGCAGCAGUGGGGAAUAUGGCACAAGGGGCGAAAGCCUGAUGCAGCCAUGCCGCGUGUAUGAAGAAGGCCUUCGGGUUGUAAAGUACUUUCAGCAGGGAGGCGUUACCCGCAGAGGAAGCCCCGGCUAACUCCGUGCCAGCAGCCGCGGUAAUUC